rnacentral:rRNA from 1 species
CCUACGGGGUGCAGCAGUGGGGAAUAUUGGACAAUGGGCGAAAGCCUGAUCCAGCCAUGCCGCGUGUGUGAAGAAGGCCUUCGGGUUGUAAAGCACUUUCAGUGGGGAAGAAAGCCUUGGGGCUAAUACCCUCGAGGAAGGACAUCACCCACAGAAGAAGCACCGGCUAACUCCGUGCCAGCAGCCGCGGUAAUACGGAGGGUGCGAGCGUUAAUCGGAAUUACUGGGCGUAAAGCGCGCGUAGGCGGUCUGAUAAGCCGGUUGUGAAAGCCCCGGGCUCAACCUGGGAACGGCAUCCGGAACUGUCAGGCUAGAGUGCAGGAGAGGAAGGUAGAAUUCCCGGUGUAGCGGUGAAAUGCGUAGAGAUCGGGAGGAAUACCAGUGGCGAAGGCGGCCUUCUGGACUGGCACUGACGCUGAGGUGCGAAAGCGUGGGUAGCAAACAGGAUUAGAUACCCCAGUAGUC